UAACGCGUGGUCAACCUACCGUUGAGUGGGGGAUAACUAGCCGAAAGGUUAGCUAAUACCGCAUACGAUCGCCGAGUGGCAUCACACGGCGAUGAAAGGAGCAAUCCGUUGAGAGAGGGGACUGCGUCCCAUUAGUUAGUUGGCGGGGUAAUGGCCUACCAAGACUCCGAUGGGUAGCUGGCUUGAGAGAGCGACCAGCCACACUGGAACUGAGACACGGUCCAG
rnacentral:rRNA from 1 species